rnacentral:lncRNA from 1 species
CUCAUCUGCGUCAGCAAAGCUUCUUCACCCUGUCCAAGGCAGUUCUUUCCUGUAGCAGCAGCUAAAUCCAAUUUGCAGUUUUUCCAAACUUGCACAUCCUCAGAGAUGCCAGACCAUUUGGGGAUGCCAGACCAGCACCCCUGCCUGAGAAAAUUCCAGUCUCGGGCCGGGUGCGGUAGCUCACGCCUGUAAUUCCAGCUCUUUGGGAGGCUGAGGCGGGUCAAUCACGAGGUCAGAAGAUCGAGGCCAUCCUGGCUAACACGUGAGAUAGGAAUUUGGCAAGACUGGUUUCCAAGACAACAGGACACAAGACCUCACUCAUAAGACAGAAAACAGCAAAAGAAACUGGCUAAAACCAGCUAGAACCAAGAGGACAAUGAAAGGGACCUCUGGGGCCGGGCCCGGUGCCUCAUGCCUGUAAUCCCUGCACCUAGGGAGGCCGAGGCGGGUGAAUUACCUGAGGUCAGGAGUUCGAGACCAGCCUGACCAACACGGAGAAACCCUGUCUCUACUCAAAAUACAAAAUUAGCCCGGCGUGGUGGUGCCUGCCUGUAAUCCCAGCUACCUGGGAGGCUGAGGCAGGAGAAUUUCUUGAACCCGGGAGGCAGAGGUUGUGGUGAGCCAAGAUCGCGCCAUUGCACUCCAGCCUGGGCAACAAGAGCCAAACUCCAUCUCAAAAAACAACAACAACUAAAAAGGAAGUGACGUCUGGUUACUUUCACUGCUCAUUAUAUGCUAAUUGUAAUGCAUUAACAUGCUAAAAACACUGCCACCAGCACCAUGACAGUUUACAAAUGCCAUGGCCAUGCUGAAAAGUUACCCUGUGUGGUCUGGACGGGGUGAAAGCCCAGGUUCUGGGAACUCCCUGCCUCUUAUCUAGAAAACCCAUGUGUAAUUCACCUUUUAUUUAGCAUAUAUUCAACAACUAACCAUUAAAAUAACCAACCAACGAUCCUCAGAGCUACUCUGCCUAUGAGGUUGCUACUCUUACUUUCCUUUCUUUCUUUUUUUUUCCAAUUGUAAAGUGCUGAUCCUGUUUAUUUGGCAGGAAAACGAGACAAUCCAGCAGCCCAGGAGGGACAGGUGGACUUAAUCCUCCUCCUCGUCGUCUCCAGCCCCACCCUCACCCUGGCCCUUCUUGGCGUUCUUCCUCUUCACGCGGCCGGGGCGGCCACCCCAUAGGGAGAGCGCAGAGACAAGUCGAUGCGCUUCUGGGAAUCCAGGCGGACAAUGAAGGACGGGAUGUUCGCCACCUGAUUGCGGACCCUGACACGGCGCUGGCGGAUCAGCCCAGGAUGUAAUCCAGCUUCGUCUUGCCCUCAUCCAGCACCCCAAUGCGGAGCAGCCGCCGCAGCAGGACGUUGCCUUCAAACAGACGCCGUGGGUCCUUCUCAUCAAGCGUCAGCAGUUCCCGGGCGGCCUUGCGGAUGUUGGCCAAGAUCAAAUGGAGAAAAAUAUCAACAAGAUAUACAAACAACUACCUGGCUACCUUCAUCAUACUCAGACUGGUACAGAACAGCUGGGGUCCCGGCUAAACCCUAUCCUUAAGCCUGGAACCGCCGCCCUAAGUGAAAACAGCUGACCCCAUUUUUCCAUCCAAAUGUUGCCUUUUUGGCCUGCCACACCUCUAUCCUGUGCCCACAAAAAGACUGCCGCUGGCAGAGCAACACAAGCGGCUGAUGGCUGAGCAUCAAAGACUACGGAUAGACACGGCUAACUUCAGAUGGCGCAGCUUCAGGGAAAGAUCACCUUCUUCCCACACCCUCCCCUGGCCUCCAUUCCACUGAGAGCCACUUCCAUCACCCAAUAAAAUCCUCCCCAUACACUACCCUACAAUCUGUUCGUGUGACCUAAUUCUUCCUGGACACCAGUCAAGAACCCGGAUGCUGAGAGGGCAGGGGCUUGGACGCUCCCGCACAGAGCCUGCUCCCACCAGAGAGGAGUGACUGGCCGGCUCCAGCGUUUGUUCCCUUCAGUUCCUGCACUCGCUUGCUCCCACGCUCCCUCUCAUGAGGAGUCACCAGCAGCAGGCUGAGCCAAAAAAGCCACUCCAGUUCCCGCCCAUGAAGAGGAUCAAGGUCAAGGUGAUGUAGGAGUUAAGACGAAAUCACUUAGACUGAUAGGGCAAGGGAGUCCUUGGUAAGGCUUUCCUUUUUAAUGAAAAGCAGCCCCGAAUCAUUUUCUAAUGAAGAGCGGCUUGUAAAGUUGAGCUGCAGAGAUAGGCAUGCAAGCUGGGAGCUUGCCUGGGUGAACGCCGGCCUGGCGGGAACAAGGAACUAGGGACUAGACAUGUUCAAUAUGGUGGCUCCAUCUUCCCUUCUCUGCCAGCCACGUGUACAGUUAACGAGCAGACAAGAGGGCUCUGGCCAUGGGGAGAGUUCAUUUACAUAAUAAGAUUAGGGUGGGGAGGGCUUGGCUCGGUGGCUCACGCCUGUAAUCCCAGCACUUUGGG